rnacentral:rRNA from 1 species
GAUGAACGCUGGCGGCGUGCCUAAUACAUGCAAGUCGAGCGAACAGACGAGGAGCUUGCUCCUCUGACGUUAGCGGCGGAAGGGUGAGUAAAACGUGGAUAACCUACCUAUAAGACUGGGAUAACUUCGGGAAACCGGAGCUAAUACCGGAUAAUAUAUUGAACCUCAUGGUUCAAUAGUGAAAGACGGUUUUGCUGUCACUUAUAGAUGGAUCCGCGCCGCAUUAGCUAGUUGGUAAGGUAACGGCUUACAAAGGCAACGAUGCGUAGCCGACCGGAGAGGGUGACCGGCCACACUGGAACUGAGCCACGGUCCAGACUCCUACGGGAGGAGGCAGUAGGGAAUCUUCCGCAAAGGGCGAAAGCCUGCCGGGGCAACGCCGCGUGAGUGAUGAAGGUCUUCGGAUCGUAAAACUCUGUUAUUAGGGAAGAACAAAUGUGUAAGUAACUAUGCACGUAUUGACGGUACCUAAUCAGAAAGCCACGGCUAACUACGUG